rnacentral:lncRNA from 1 species
CCAAGAGCUGGAGCAAGCGCGAUCUGCCGGUGCCUUGGCGGUCUGGCGUGCAGACAGACGUUCUCGGGGACGUCUAGAUGGAGAAAGUGCCCGGCGCCGUUGCUCCUUGUGCGUGUGAACGGAGACGACCUCAGCCCGUGACGGUCUCAGUUUGCGGAGCGCUUCACUCGCGUGAAAGAAACCACGUACAGAGGUCUGGACGUUGGCCAUGGUUUUCCCUACCCCACCACAGUGCACUUGACAGACUCUAGGAAGAACAGUCAACAGAAACCAAAGAAAGUUCUCCAAUGAGGCCAUAAGGCUCCCAGGGGAAGCGGCACUGGAAGUAGGACGCCCAGGUUGAAGGCUUAACGGAUAAGGUGAUUGUGAAAAGAAGCGUCCAGGGAUAAAGACAGUUUCAGGCAGAGAAGGGCGAAUAGAAACCUGAGCCAGGUGUGACUGUAAUUCCAGCCCUCCAGGCUGAGGCAGGAUGACAAGUGAGUUCCAGGCCAGCCUCGGGUACAUAGUCUUACCUGUCUCAAAACAAAAGGAGAACGAUUAGGCAGGAACAUGGAGAUUGAAAACAUACAGCCGGACAGGCUAGUGAAGAUCUUAGAAUCCCAGCUGGCGGGAGACCUACGGUAGAAUCCCAAAAGAGAAGAAAGAAGGCAGAGUGCACUGUGGACCAGAGAAGGUGGUUUUGUUUGUUUGUUUGUUUAGAAGCUGAUACCUCGGCCUGUCCUAAUGUCUGGAAGGGAGGUUUGCUGCAUGGAAAACCAAAGUCAGCAUUCUAGUUUCCACCUGAUCACCAACCGGAAGAUCUGGGCAAAGCUGCUCUUUCUGGGUCCAGUUGGCUCUUUUAGUGUGGGAGCAAACCUGUUUGCCAUGGACAGGGGGCGGUUUGGAGAAGCAAAGUGGACCUAUUGGAAGGGCAUUGCCAGAAACAGAGGGUCCAUAGAGGUUCGGCUGAAGCCCUUGCUACCUGGCUGGAGACCCUCAGUUUUAAUCAUAGUGGAUGCAGCUGAAACCUUUUGUGCUUCUCUUUGGGGCACCAUUCUUCUCAAGACUAGUAGGUAA